CGAAGGCCUGACGGAGCAAUACCGCGUGAGGGAAGAAGGCUUUUGGGUUGUAAACCUCUUUUGUCAGGGAAGAAGAAUUGACGGUACCUGAAGAAAAAGCAUCGGCUAACUCCGUGCCAGCAGCCGUGGUAAUACGGAGGAUGCAAGCGUUAUCCGGAAUCAUUGGGCGUAAAGGGUCCGCAGGUGGCGAAUAAAGUCUGCUGUUAAAGACCGGGGCUUAACUCCGGAAAGGCAGUGGAAACUGAUUAGCUAGAGUACGGUAGGGGUAGAGGGAAUUCCCAGUGUAGCGGUGAAAUGCGUAGAUAUUGGGAAGAACACCGGUGGCGAAAGCGCUCUACUAGGCCGAAACUGACACUGAGGGACGAAAGCUAGGGUAGCGAAAGGGAUUAGAUACCCCUGUAGUCUUAGCGGUAAACGAUGGAUACUAGGUGUAGCUUGUAUCGACCCGAGCUGUGCCGAAGCUAACGCGAUAAGUAUCCCGCCUGGGGAGUACGCACGCAAGUGUGAAACUCAAAGGAAUUGACGGGGGCCCGCACAAGCGGUGGAGUAUGUGGUUUAAUUCGAUGCAACGCGAAGAACCUUACCAGGGCUUGACAUGUCGCGAAUCUAGCGGAAACGUUAGAGUGCCUUAGGGAAUGCGAACACAGGUGGUGCAUGGCUGUCGUCAGCUCGUGUCGUGAGAUGUUGGGUUAAGUCCCGCAACGAGCGCAACCCUCGUCCUUAGUUGCCAAUAUUAAGUUAGGCACUCUAGGGAGACUGCCGGGGACAACUCGGAGGAAGGUGGGGAUGACGUCAAGUCAGCAUGCCCCUUACGUCCUGGGCGACACACGUACUACAAUGGUUGGGACAAAGGGCAGCAAGCUCGCGAGAGUAAGCGAAUCUCAUCAAACCCAGCCACAGUUCAGAUUGCAGGCUGCAACUCGCCUGCAUGAAGUAGGAAUCGCUAGUAAUCGCAGGUCAGCAUACUGCGGUGAAUUCGUUCCCGGGCCUUGUACACACCGCCCGUCACACCAUGGAAGCUGGCUACGCCCGAAGUCGUUACCCUAACCCGGUUUUGGGAGGGGGAUGCCGAAGGUAGAGCUAGUGACUGGGGUGAAGUCGUAACAAGGUAGCCGUACCGGAAGGUGUGGCUGGAUCACCUCCUUU
rnacentral:rRNA from 1 species